rnacentral:rRNA from 1 species
CUACGGGCGGCAGCAGUCGGGAAACUCCUACAAUGCGCGUAAGCGUGAUAGAGCAAGCCGAAGUGCUUUCCUAUAAUUGGAAAGCUCUUACAAGAUGUAAACAAUCUUGAGAAUAAGGACUGGGCAAGACUGGUGCCAGCCGCCGCGGUAAUACCAGCGGUCCAAGUGGCAGCCACUUUUAUUGGGUCUAAAACAUCCGUAGCUCGUUAAGUAAGUCUUUUGUGAAAUCUGACAUCUUAAGUGUCGGGCGUGCAACAAGAAACUGCUUAGCUAGAGACCGGGAGACGUGAAGAGUACGGUUUGGGUAGCGGUAAAAUGCGUUGAUCCUUACUGGACUAACGAUAGCGAAGGCACUUCACGAGAACGGAUCUGACAGUGAGGGAUGAAGGCUAGGGGCGCAAAACGGAUUAGAUACCCGAGUAGUC